UCCCUCCUAACCCUCCCUUGAGAUGUACAGUUGCUUUACAGCAUAUUGUCUUGUAAGUAUUGCUGUUGCAUUGGGUGGCCUUUUACCCUUCAUCUCUCCAUUUUAGUGUUCUCCUCCCCUAGUUCUGAUAUAUGUAUAUACAAUACCCAGCAGUUCUUAAAA